CCUUCUUCAGCUGCUCAAGACUUGUCCAGAAUGUUUGACGACAAAAACUGUGACAGAACUCAACUGCAAGGGCUCGUGCCUACGUGUAACUGUGACAUGGCAAAACAGUCACACCAGGGUUUGAUACAGUCAGCCUUCGCUUGGUGGAAAGCCAGUCGGAAACAUCCUAAUGAGCGCCGCCAUACUUUUUUCGGGAUGCAGCCCUACAAAGGUGUUGCGACUUUUCCAGUUCAUGAAGCUUGCCAGCAUAAAGAAGACCCAGUUCUUCAGAAUGCAGCAUUGCUACCUUUUUCCCGCAGUCAAGGAGGCAUGGAAGUUGGAGCAAGAAGCCUUGGUGUGCGCCCUCAAGGAAACACCUUUUACACUUGCAGGCGACGCCAGGUGUGAUUCUCCGGGACAUUGCGCACUAAUGGGGACAUACACAGUCCUGGAGACAUCAGUCAAUAAGAUUCUUCACUUUGAGCAGAUUAUGUCACCAGAGGUAUCCUCCAGCAACCAAAUGCAAAAGAUUGGUCUUGAGCGGGUCUUGGGCUACCUCGAACAACAAGAAAUGACGGUUGACAUGCUGAUCACUGACAGGCAUACUGGGAUUAAAGCACUCAUGAAGACCAAGCCCAUUAAACAUCGAUUUGAUGUGUGGCAUGUAGCUAAAGGCAA